CAUCUUUUGGUCACUUACAUCAUCAAUUGUUAGAAAUGUGAGAACUCUCCAGAAGAUCAAGUACUGUGCAGUAAUUAUCAUGCACAGGCCCCAGAGAGCCCUGGCCUUUGAGAAUGCCCUCUUCAUCAACCCAAAAGAAGAAUUUUGGAAAGGAGAGGGGAACCCUGGACAAAUCACCUCUCUGUACAACAACACAAACUUGUGAUUGGAGUUCUGAAAUAGAAACAUGAGCUUCCUUGAAGUGAUGCUCUCUGGAAGGCCACACUUCCCAGGGGUGUGGAUUAACAAGAAAAAAAAAAGCAAAAGAAGGCAUAAUGACAAUGUCUCAUAAGCCCGCCACAGCCUGCUGACCCCAGGCUCCGGAAUGGAUCAGCCCUCCUACUCACUCCCUCUCGCAUACACCAUGUCUCCAUGGAAACUGCUUGUCAGACCCUGCUUGGCUGCAGGUUCUGAAGCCCUCUCAUCUGCAGCCUCAGUCCUGCACAGAUUCAGUCUUAAUCAGCCAGGCUUCUUAGUAAGGGCCUGUGUUAGGAGCUCCAUCCUCUCAGCUGGUGGGGUCUGGAAUUGUUUUUCCGGCUCCUUUGGGAUACACCUGGAGAGUCCCCAAUGCCACGGAGCUGCCCUGAGCUUCCACCACUGAUAUUCAAGGCAAUGGUAGGGUCACUGGCUCCGUUAUAGUUCAGGCCCAUGUUAUUUCCUUCUUCAGUAAUUGCAAGGUCCUCUUACUUCAACACUCGCUUUCCUUGUAUCCAAUCUCCCCAUUACAACCAGUGAGAAAAUUUCCUUGAAAAGCAGAUCUGACACGUCCUUCCCCAACAGGGAGUCAGUUCGUGGUUCCCAUGGCCCUAGGGCCCUCUUGCAUGACACAUAAGAUUGUACCCUUAUAAUCUGACCCCUGCUCAUCUCUCCAGGACUAUCUCUUGCCCCUUUUGCUGCAUAGUCUGAUCUCAGCCACACCAAACCUCAUUCCUUCUCCAAUGAGCCACCUGUUCUCUCUUCUCUCUGACUUUGCACUGCUUCCUCCUCUACCUGGAGUGUUCUGCCUCCUCCCCCUCUACAUCAGUCUUUCACAAAUUCUUGGGGAAACGUUCCUGCCUCUUGAAUCUUAAAUCCCUCUUCUAAGUCCUCCUACAGCUCCUUUGUUUACUCCCUUUCUGCUGAACUGUCAACUCCCAGCGGGCAGAGUGUGCCCACCUCUAGCUCAGUGCCUAGCAUAUUCACUCAAAUGUCCGCUAUACAAGUGAAAGGAUGAAGAAUAAGCUUCUGAAAUAAAAAAUGU